rnacentral:rRNA from 1 species
GUCGAGCGAAUGAUGAGGAAGCUUGCUUUCUCUGAUUUAGCGGCGGACGGGUGAGUAACACGUGGGCAACCUACCUUAUAGUUUGGGAUAACUCCGGGAAACCGGGGCUAAUACCAAAUAAUCUCUUUUACUUCAUGGUGAAAGACUGAAAGACGGUUUUGGCUGUCGCUAUAGGAUGGGCCCGCGGCGCAUUAGCUAGUUGGUGAGGUAACGGCUCACCAAGGCAACGAUGCGUAGCCGACCUGAGAGGGGGAUCGGCCACACUGGGACUGAGACACGGCCCAGACUCCUACGGGAGGCAGCAGUAGGGAAUCUUCCACAAUGGGCGAAAGCCUGAUGGAGCAACGCCGCGUGAGUGAAGAAGGAUUUCGGUUCGUAAAACUCUGUUGUAAGGGAAGAACAAGUACAGUAGUAACUGGCUGUACCUUGACGGUACCUUAUUAGAAAGCCACGGCUAACUACGUGCCAGCAGCCGCGGUAAUACGUAGGUGGCAAGCGUUGUCCGGAAUUAUUGGGCGUAAAGCGCGCGCAGGUGGUUUCUUAAGUCUGAUGUGAAAGCCCACGGCUCAACCGUGGAGGGUCAUUGGAAACUGGGGAACUUGAGUGCAGAAGAGGAUAGUGGAAUUCCAAGUGUAGCGGUGAAUGCGUAGAGAUUGGAGGAACACCAGUGGCGAAGCGACUAUCUGGUCUGUACUGACACUGAGGCGCGAAAGCGUGGGAGCAACAGGAUUAGAUACCCUGGUAGUCCACGCCGUAACGAUGAGUGCUAAGUGUUAGGGGUUCCGCCCCUUAGUGCUGCAGCUAACGCAUUAAGCACUCCGCCUGGGGAGUACGGUCGCAGACUGAACUCAAGGAUUGACGGGGCCCGCACAAGCGGUGGAGCAUGUGGUU